ACGGGAGGCAGCAGUGGGGAAUAUUGCACAAUGGGCGGAAGCCUGAUGCAGCGACGCCGCGUGAGGGAUGACGGCCUUCGGGUUGUAAACCUCUUUCAGUAGGGAAGAAGCGAGAGUGACGGUACCUGCAGAAGAAGCGCCGGCUAACUACGUGCCAGCAGCCGCGGUAAUACGUAGGGCGCAAGCGUUGUCCGGAAUUAUUGGGCGUAAAGAGCUCGUAGGCGGUUUGUCGCGUCUGCUGUGAAAGCCCGGGGCUCAACCCCGGGUCUGCAGUGGGUACGGGCAGACUAGAGUGCAGUAGGGGAGACUGGAAUUCCUGGUGUAGCGGUGAAAUGCGCAGAUAUCAGGAGGAACACCGAUGGCGAAGGCAGGUCUCUGGGCUGUUACUGACGCUGAGGAGCGAAAGCAUGGGGAGCGAACAGGAUUAGAUACCCUGGUAGUCCAUGCCGUAAACGUUGGGCACUAGGUGUGGGGGACAUUCCACGUUUUCCGCGCCGUAGCUAACGCAUUAAGUGCCCCGCCUGGGGAGUACGGCCGCAAGGCUAAAACUCAAAGGAAUUGACGGGGGCCCGCACAAGCGGCGGAGCAUGCGGAUUAAUUCGAUGCAACGCGAAGAACCUUACCAAGGCUUGACAUUCACCGGACCGCCCCAGAGAUGGGGUUUCCCUUCGGGGCUGGUGGACAGGUGGUGCAUGGUUGUCGUCAGCUCGUGUCGUGAGAUGUUGGGUUAAGUCCCGCAACGAGCGCAACCCUCGUUCUAUGUUGCCAGCACGUGAUGGUGGGGACUCAUAGGAGACUGCCGGGGUCAACUCGGAGGAAGGUGGGGAUGACGUCAAAUCAUCAUGCCCCUUAUGUCUUGGGCUUCACGCAUGCUACAAUGGCCGGUACAAAGGGUUGCGAUACUGUGAGGUGGAGCUAAUCCCAAAAAGCCGGUCUCAGUUCGGAUUGAGGUCUGCAACUCGACCUCAUGAAGUCGGAGUCGCUAGUAAUCGC
rnacentral:rRNA from 1 species